GGGGGCAUAGCUCAGCUGGGAGAGCGCCACGUUCGCAACGUGGAAGUCGAGGGUUCGAGUCCCUUUGUCUCCACCA
rnacentral:tRNA from 1 species